rnacentral:lncRNA from 1 species
CAAGAAAUGAGUGCUGAAUAAGGAGGUAGUACUUGUUGUCCUAAAAAUGUGUGGUUAAAAUUAAAUUUUGAUUUUGAAAAUUAACAUUUUAGAAAUAAAAAUGAAAUCCAAACAUAGGCUUAACCAAUAUUAUGCUCUUUUUCUUUGUUGAUGUAGCAAUUGAUGGAUAGAGACACGAGUUUCAAAAUGAUAUGCAUUGGGUAUACAUGUUCAGUUUCUUGGAGAUUGGCUGAUGUUUUUCUUUUGAAAAUUUCAGUUACCAUGACAAUGCUUUUGUUUCCUCCCGUGCAUUGCAUAUAGUCAACAAGUUAAAUUCUUCAGCCACCUACGAUUUAUUGGAGGCGUUUUUCCAGCACCAGGUGAGAUUGAUUUUGUAUUAGAAGUGUAUAGAUCUCUUGCUGAAAGGGCUAAACAGACCUUGCAUGAACUCUACCUCUCUACAAUGACAAGCUGAUGCAGUUCUUCACCUCUUCUAUGUGGUUUAGGCAUGGCUACUUCUUUGCUUUUUUCUGUGGCUACUUUGCUUUUUCUUGCUUUGGUUGGCUCUCUCUGGCAUCUGGAAUUUGAUCUAUUGUAAAUUAGUUUUUCAUGUUGAGUUCUAUUAAUUUGUGAUUUAAGAGUUCUAUUCUGUUCUCAUUUUUUAUGCAUCAAUGACUUUGUGCUUCCGUCAACCGUUCAAUGAAUAUGCCAUACUUUUCUGUUACAGUGCACUGUAAUUUUUUAAUUUAGUAUUUGUUUGGAAGAUUUUUUUAAAGUUAUGCUCUUCAAAAUUACUUUCAAUUAUACAUUCUAGAAACAUAUUAUUUUUCACUUGAAAAAAUCUCUCAUAAACAAAUGUUUUAUAAAUAAAUAGCAAUAAGAUUUAAACUCAAAACAUAAUAUUAAGGACAUGUUUGUUAGAUCUUCUGUUUAUGGUCAAACUAUUUUUUAAAAAAGUUACUUUAAAUAACUUUCUUUCGAUAGACUUUCUAGCAAGAAAAAAUGCAUUUAAAAAUUUAUUCAAAUAUAUUCAAAAGUAAUUUUCUUAAUUUUAAAUAUAACUUUUUGACUUUUAUUUAUUUAAGUUAACCCUCACUAACUUCAAUUAGGCAACAGUCGUUUAUAUUUAUGUAAUUACUAGUGCCUUCUCCUCCCGCCAAUUGGUCAACUGUCUGUCUUAACUUCCCAAGGGACUCAGAGCAUAAACUAUUCACCAAAUUCCAAUUUCAAUCAAAUAGCAAAGUUCUUUCAAUUGACAUCCUCCAAAAGAAAAAAAAAAUUAGAAAAACCAAAAUUCAGAUUUCGAACAUGGGUUUUAAGAACACUCUCAGAUUUUUAGCGUUCUUGUGCUUUCGUAUGUGUUUCUUUGUUUCGAUCGAUGCUCAGGUUCCAAUUCCACCAAAGCUAGAUGGGUUCUGGUACGAGAACCGACCGUCGGAGGCUGACUCGAUAUUCAUCGAGGCGUUUUUUGACCCAGUUUGCCCCGACAGCAGGGAUUCAUGGCCGGGUCUUAAACAAGCCCUCCACCACUAUGGCUCUCGCGUUACACUCCUUGUCCACACCUUCCCUUUACCGUAAGUUUGUACUUUUUAUUUCUGGAAAUAAAAUGAUUAGCUCAGUUUAUUUACAUAAAUGUUCGAUUCUUGAAUCUUGAUGGCGUUUUACUUUCUUGUUCAGUAUGCAAUUGAUGGGCAGUAAUUAUUUUGAUCUGUUUAUGUUAACUGUGUUUUGUAAUGGAGUAUUUCUUGGGAACCCUUUAAAUUUUAGAAAAUUUAACAAAUAUGUGAAUUAUUCUGCCAUACAUGUAUUUGUGUCAUCUAUUAUACAUAGUUAUACGAAGUAAUUUUAGGGGCGCAUUUUUGUGUACUUUGCAUAUUUUCUUAUUGCUUUUCAGAUUGUUAUCGCUUUUGAUAGUAUUGGGGCUUAAAUUGUAACAUUCUCGUGAUUAAAUUACCGUAAUUUCUUGGUUGCAUAAGAGUUUUGUUGAUAUUAAAUGUCCUUGCACACCAUUCAUGUAAAGAUUACAAUCACUGGAUGAGAUCAUUCAGAGAAUUGGAUUGUUUUUUUGUGAAUAAUGUAGAAGUAGUAGGUGAAGUUGUUAAGGAAUGGAAAAAAUGCACUUCUCCUCCAACUUGGCCUCUGUUCGGGGGUUUCAUUUUUUCAUUAAUAAUUUACUUUUCAAGAAAUGAGUGCUGAAUAAGGAGGUAGUACUUGUUGUCCUAAAAAUGUGUGGUUAAAAUUAAAUUUUGAUUUUGAAAAUUAACAUUUUAGAAAUAAAAAUGAAAUCCAAACAUAGGCUUAACCAAUAUUAUGCUCUUUUUCUUUGUUGAUGUAGCAAUUGAUGGAUAGAGACACGAGUUUCAAAAUGAUAUGCAUUGGGUAUACAUGUUCAGUUUCUUGGAGAUUGGCUGAUGUUUUUCUUUUGAAAAUUUCAGUUACCAUGACAAUGCUUUUGUUUCCUCCCGUGCAUUGCAUAUAGUCAACAAGUUAAAUUCUUCAGCCACCUACGAUUUAUUGGAGGCGUUUUUCCAGCACCAGGUGAGAUUGAUUUUGUAUUAGAAGUGUAUAGAUCUCUUGCUGAAAGGGCUAAACAGACCUUGCAUGAACUCUACCUCUCUACAAUGACAAGCUGAUGCAGUUCUUCACCUCUUCUAUGUGGUUUAGGCAUGGCUACUUCUUUGCUUUUUUCUGUGGCUACUUUGCUUUUUCUUGCUUUGGUUGGCUCUCUCUGGCAUCUGGAAUUUGAUCUAUUGUAAAUUAGUUUUUCAUGUUGAGUUCUAUUAAUUUGUGAUUUAAGAGUUCUAUUCUGUUCUCAUUUUUUAUGCAUCAAUGACUUUGUGCUUCCGUCAACCGUUCAAUGAAUAUGCCAUACUUUUCUGUUACAGUGCACUGUAAUUUCUAUCAUGAUGUCCUUUGAUUACUACCUGAUAUUGUACCAUAUUUCAUGGUAGCUUGAGCAUUGCCUUUGUUUCUUGAAAAUAUUUCUCAAUUUCCUUAAAUCACUUCUACUUCCACUACUUCAGAAACAAGGAAUCCUAAAUACAUAACUCUUGGCCUAUGGAUUGAAUUUAAAGGAGAGUUAAAUUCUACAAGAGGGUAUCUUAAAUGUGUGUUGUAGUUUGUGGAAUUUUUAUAUGUUGGCCUCCAAGGACGUAUGCAUACACGCCAUGUAACGAGCUGCGAUGUACAAGGAUGAAUUAAAAAAUUGUUCAUUCUGAGUUUUCUCACUACUCUCAAAUGCUCUCUUAUUGAACUUUUGGGAUAGUAAUUAGUAUCUUGAAUUCUCCACAAAGUAUUGAGUUAAACCAAUUGAUCUAGAAUAUAUGGCCACAUGUGGAUCAUUAAAAUAAUUUUUAAAAUGCACUCAUGUGUAGGGUUCAUCUUUACAACCAGAACCUAACACGUGCACGAUUUACUUGAACUCAGAAUCUUUAUGUGUUGUGAUACCAUACUAAAUCACUUGAUCUAAAGUCUCACACAAUGGUUCAUGUCCCUUGAUUUAUGACUUUGUUGGGUCGUAUGCUUCUAGAACAACACACAUUUUAUCAGGAUAACAUAACAUUUCAUAGUGAACAUGAUUAUAUUUCAAUGACUUUAGCUUUACUAAUGUAUGCACCCUAUCUUUGUGAUGUAAUUGUACAUUAUAAUCCUUGCACAUUAUUAUUACAGUGUCACCUAAUUAUUAUAUUAUUAAAUUUUAUUGGUUUGGAAGCUGAAAUUCUGAGAUUGUUGAACAGGAA